GGGGGGUUUGUUAGUCUGUUGACGGUAGCAAACAAGGCACCCGGACUCAUGAGAAUUCAGUUGCCUGUGGUGCCUUGUUGUUGUAAAUUAGAGCUAACUGGUGGGACGUGACUACUGCUCGCACACAACAUCCCUGGAAGUUUCUAGCAGGAUUUUGAGAGACUGGAAGACAGACCUACAACCAACAGGACAUUUCUCUGCUGAAGACUAGGAUGGCAGAUAGCGGGUCGUGUUUGUGGAGCAUCAUCUGGCUGGUGGUUCUGCUCUUCAUCGGCUGGCCCCUCAGCAUCCUCCUCGGGGGUCUCUACGGUCUCUUCUGCCCCCUCACCACCUGCCUCGGCCUGGACAGACUCUCUGAUCUGCUCCUGGAGGGGGCCAACCUGGGCCGCACCUGUGCCAAUAACAUGAGGCACAGCAAGCCUAUGUGUUAAAAUCCACCCAGAACCAGAGAUGGGGGGGGGGGGAGAUUGGUGCUUUUCGACUGAAAAACAUCCUUUGCUUUAAGGGGAAUCAUACCUUUAUUUGUCCCACAGAGGGGUUAAUAUCUGUUUCAUGUGGAGAUGUCAUCAGAUGAUUGGCACUCAAUACAGCAAGGAACUGUUUAGCAAGUUAUGUAACAAAGUUCCAGAAGGUUUUCAAAAUAGAUUCCCCGUGAUCUGUUAACAUGUAAUUAACCACGGAUUUGAAAUUUGUAUGGGUAUGUCUGGAAGAAAAUAGGCUUUGUGUUCAUGGUCUGUUUGCUGUUUAAUUCAUGAUGACACUGCAUGCAGAAGAUAAGAAUGAAAAUGGCAUUUUAACAAUGGAAAUGCUUAGACUUGUAAAUGACUGUAUGGAAACUUUUAAUGCGAUUAAAUAGCUUUGAAGUUGC